UCGAGUUUCUUUACUCAUAUUCUAUCCUGUGUUGUUGACUUCUUGGGGUGGUGGUUGACCGGAAGGAAGGCCAUCGCCCCUUUUAUUAUAAGUAUCCAUAUGAUUGUUGGUGAUAAUGAUAAACAAAAUUUUAAAA
rnacentral:misc_RNA from 1 species